rnacentral:rRNA from 1 species
UACGGAGGUGGCAAGCGUUGUUCGGAAUUAUUGGGCGUAAAGGGCGCGUAGGCGGCUUGACAAGUCAGAUGUGAAAGCCCCGGGCUUAACUCGGGAAUUGCAUCUGAAACUGUUUUGCUUGAGUCCUGGAGGGGGUAGUGGAAUUCCCAGUGUAGCGGUGAAAUGCGUAGAUAUUGGGAGGAACACCUGCGGCGAAGGCGGCUACCUGGACAGUGACUGACGCUGAGGCGCGAAAGCUAGGGGAGCGAACGGG